GAUGAACGCUGGCGGCGUGCCUAAUACAUGCAAGUCGUACGGAAAGGCCCUUCGGGGUACUCGAGUGGCGGACGGCUGAGUAACGCGUGGGAACGUGCCCCAAAGUGAGGGAUAACGCACCGAAAGGUGUGCUAAUACCGCAUAUGGUCUUCGGAUUAAAGCUUCGGCGCUUUGGGAGCGGCCCGCGUACGAUUAGAUAGUUGGUGAGGUAAUGGCUCAACAAGUCGACGAUCGUUAGCUGGUCUGAGAGGAUGAUCAGCCAGACUGGGACUGAGACACGGCCCAGACUCCUACGGGAGGCAGCAGUAAGGAAUCUUCCACAAUGGGGGCAACCCGGAUGGAGCAACGCCGCGUGAAGGAUGAAGGUUUUCGGAUCGUAAACUGCUUUUAUAAGUGAGGAAUAUGACGGUAACUUAUGAAUAAGGAUCGGCUAACUACGUGCCAGCCGCCGCCGUAA
rnacentral:rRNA from 1 species